GCAUAUCAAUAAGCGGAGGAAAAGAAACCAACAGGGAUUACCUCAGUAACGGCGAGUGAAGCGGUAACAGCUCAAAUUUGAAAUCUGGCCUCACGGUCCGAGUUGUAAUUUGUAGAGGAUGCUUCGAGCAUGGUCUGGCCUAAGUUCCUUGGAACAGGACGUCAUAGAGGGUGAGAAUCCCGUAUGCGGCCAGGUGCCUACGCUCAUGUGAAGCUCCUUCGACGAGUCGAGUUGUUUGGGAAUGCAGCUCAAAAUGGGUGGUAAAUUUCAUCUAAAGCUAAAUAUUGGCCAGAGACCGAUAGCGCACAAGUAGAGUGAUCGAAAGAUGAAAAGCACUUUGGAAAGAGAGUUAAACAGUACGUGAAAUUGUUGAAAGGGAAGCGCUUGCAACCAGACUUGCGCGCGGCCGAUCAUCCGGUGUUCUCACCGGUGCACUCGGCCGUGCUCAGGCCAGCAUCGGUUUUGGCGGCUGGAUAAAGGCCCUAGGAAUGUAGCUCCUCUCGGGGAGUGUUAUAGCCUAGGGUGCAAUGCAGCCUGCCGGGACCGAGGACCGCGCUUCGGCUAGGAUGCUGGCGUAAUGGUUGUAAGCGGCCCGUCUUGAAACACGGACCAAGGAGUCUAACAUCUAUGCGAGUGUUUGGGUGUCAAACCCAUACGCGUAAUGAAAGUGAACGGAGGUGAGAACCCUUAAGGGUGCAUCAUCGACCGAUCCUGAUGUCUUCGGAAGGAUUUGAGUAAGAGCAUAGCUGUUGGGACCCGAAAGAUGGUGAACUAUGCCUGAAUAGGGUGAAGCCAGAGGAAACUCUGGUGGAGGCUCGCAGCGGUUCUGACGUGCAAAUCGAUCGUCAAAUUUGGGUAUAGGGGCGAAAGACUAAUCGAACCAUCUAGUAGCUGGUUCCUGCCGAA
rnacentral:rRNA from 1 species